UACGAAGGGGGCUAGCGUUGCUCGGAAUUACUGGGCGUAAAGCGCACGUAGGCGGUCUUUUAAGUCGGGGGUGAAAUCCUGGAGCUCAACUCCAGAACUGCCUUCGAUACUGGAAGACUUGAGUCCGGGAGAGGUGAGUGGAACUGCGAGUGUAGAGGUGAAAUUCGUAGAUAUUCGGAAGAACACCAGUGGCGAAGGCGACUGACUGGACAAGUAUUGACGCUGAGGUGCGAAAGCGUGGGGAGCAAACAGG
rnacentral:rRNA from 1 species